GUGCCUAUAGUGUAAUGGUUAGCACUAGAGUUUGUGGAACUCUCAGUUCCGGUUCAAAUCCGGAUAGGCACCCCA
rnacentral:tRNA from 1 species